rnacentral:rRNA from 1 species
CCUACGGGAGGCAGCAGUAGGGAAUCUUCCGCAAUGGACGAAAGUCUGACGGAGCAACGCCGCGUGAGUGAGGAAGGUCUUCGGAUCGUAAAGCUCUGUUGCCAGGGAAGAAUCCCCUGGGGAGUCACUGCCCCGGGGUUGACGGUACCUGAGAAGAAAGCCCCGGCUAACUACGUGCCAGCAGCCGCGGUAAU